CCUGCAGUGAUCUUCACCUGAACACAGGUCAGGUUGCUCCUAGGAUGGUGAAGUUCAAUGUUCUCUGUUGCAUGAGCACUGUUCUGGUUUAGUAAUUUGGAGAUGAUAUUCCAAAUAAUUAGGCUUUGUGCGUACAAAUUUUUAUUUUAUUUUUUCCUAAUAACAUAACCCUGUUACAUCUCCAAGCAUAGGUAAUAUUAUGCUUAUUUGUCAGAAGAUGGGAUCUUUCAUCUUUGUAUAGGUUAGUUUGUUCAAUAUUUAGUAUAGCUAAAGAAAUCGAGUAUGAGAACUGUGGCUUCACAUUUUUCAAAAUUUACACAGAACAUUAGCUCCAUGAGCUCUUGAGAGAUUUUGAUAGUUUACUAGCUCAAGGUGAUGUGUAAACUAUCCCAUUCUUUAUAAAAAGAAAUUAUUUGAUUGGUGAUGUCAGAGUGCAACAAAUAACCAUAGAGACUAAAGUUAAUGCCAAAUUCCAUUAUGCUUUUGUUAGCUGUGCUUGCACCAUGCAAAGACUAUACGGGAUGAUGGCAUACACUUUAAACAUCGAACUUACCUGCUCUUACUCGCAGGAUGCUUGGCCCUGGACAAUUAUUGUGAAAAAUCCUAGCGCUCUACGAAAAGAAAGAACUGGUGAGCUCAUCUCCGUCGCUCUCUACCAAAAUUUCUUUCCUUGGCGCUCCUAUUGCCACAUCUUCAUAUCAGCAUUUAUUUUUGAACAAUGAGAUGGAUGCUGAACCUCAGCUAGUUCUGGUGAAAACUGCUAGAUCUCUAUAUAAAAAGGAGGAGCUGGUGACCUCACCUCUAUUUCUCUGCCUUAUCCUGCUUAUGUUCAUAAUUAUAUUGUUAUAUGCCAUCCACAAUUUUAUGUGCUAACUUAUCUGAAUUAUAUAAUAUCUUUGAGUAGUUGUUUUAGAUAUCACGUGUUAAUAUUCCAUGAAACAUAUCAAUGUAGAAAGAUAUAUGUAAAUUGUCCUGCAGCCUGAAGGCCUCAUGUUUUCUUAAUUUCUUUGGUGAUCUAGGUUCUAAA